GAUGAACGCUAGCUAUAGGCUUAACACAUGCAAGUCGAGGGACCGGCGCACGGGUGAGUAACGCGUAACCAACCUCCCCAUAACUAAGGGCUAACCCAGCGAAAGUUGGACUAAUACCUUAUGGUUAUGGAUGGGGUUGCGUGUGAUUAGCUUGUUGGCGGGGUAACGGCCCACCAAGGCAACGAACAGUAGGGGUACUGAGAGGGAGCACACCCGCACUGUAACUGGGCCCAGGUCCAAACUCCUACGGGAGGUAGGGGUGAGGAAUAUUGGUCAAUGGACGCAAGUCGGAACCGGCGCGUUAGCGUGCAGGAUGUCGGCCCAUGGGUUGUAAACUGCUUUUAUAUGGGUAUAGGUACCAUACGAAAAAGGACCGGCUAAUUCCGUGCCAGCAGCCGCGGUAAUAC
rnacentral:rRNA from 1 species